rnacentral:rRNA from 1 species
UGGGGAAUUUUGCACAAUGGGGGAAACCCUGAUGCAGCGACGCCGCGUGAUUUAGAAGGCCUUCGGGUUGUAAAAAUCUUUUUUACGGGAUGAAAAUGACAGUACCGUAAGAAUAAGGUCCGGCUAAAUACGUGCCAGCAGCCGCGGUAAUACGUAUGGACCGAGCGUUGUCCGGAAUCAUUAGGCGUAAAGGGUACGUAGGCGGCCUAGUAAGUUAGAAGUGAAAUAAUAUAGCUCAACUAUAUAAAGCUUUUAAAACUGCUAGGCUUGAGAGAUGGAAGGGAAAGUGGAAUUCCUAGUGUAGCGGUGAAAUGCGCAGAUAUUAGGAAGAAUACCGGUGGCGAAGGCGACUUUCUGGUCAUCAUCUGACGCUGAGGUACGAAAGCGUGGGUAGCAAACAGG